UAGGGANUCUUCCGCAAUGGACGCAAGUCUGACGGAGCAACGCCGCGUGAGUGAAGAAGGUCUUCGGAUCGUAAAGCUCUGUUGUUAGAGAAGAACAGCGCAUAGAGUAACUGUUAUGCGUGUGACGGUAUCUAACCAGAAAGCCACGGCUAACUACGUGCCAGCAGCCGCGGUAAUACGUAGGUGGCGAGCGUUGUCCGGAUUUAUUGGGCGUAAAGGGAGUGUAGGCGGUCUUUUAAGUCUGAUGUGAAAGCCCACGGCUCAAUCGUGGAGGGUCAUUGGAAACUGGGAGACUUGAGUGCAGAAGAGGAGAGCGGAAUUCCAUGUGUAGCGGUGAAAUGCGUAGAUAUAUGGAGGAACACCAGUGGCGAAGGCGGCUCUCUGGUCUGUAACUGACGCUGAGGCUCGAAAGCGUGGGGAGCAAACAGGAUUAGAUACCCUGGUAGUCCACGCCGUAAACGAUGAGUGCUAAGUGUUGGAGGGGUUCCACCCUUCAGUGCUGGAGUUAACGCAAUAAGCACUCCGCCUGGGGAGUACGGCCGCAAGGCUG
rnacentral:rRNA from 1 species